CACGGGGGGGAGCAAGCGUUGUUCGGAAUCACUGGGCGUAAAGGGCGUGUAGGCGGUUCGGUAAGUGGAAUGUGAAAUGCUCCGGCUCACCCGGAGUACUGCAUCCCAAACUGCCGAGCUUGAGUAUGGGAGAGGAUGAGGGAAUUCCUGGUGUAGCGGUGAAAUGCGUAGAUAUCAGGAGGAACACCGGUGGCGAAGGCGCUCAUCUGGCCCCAAUACUGACGCUGAGGCGCGAAAGCUAGGGGAGCAAACGGG
rnacentral:rRNA from 1 species